rnacentral:rRNA from 1 species
UACAGAGGUCCCAAGCGUUGUUCGGAUUUACUGGGCGUAAAGGGCGCGUAGGCGGCCUGCCGUGUCGGGUGUGAAAUCCAUGGGCCCAACCCAUGAAGUGCGCCCGAAACUGGCCGGCUCGAGUGCGGGAGGGGAGAUCGGAAUGCAGGGUGUAGCGGUGAAAUGCGUUGAUAUCCUGCAGAACACCGGUGGCGAAGGCGGAUCUCUGGAACGCAACUGACGCUGAGGCGCGAAAGCGUGGGGAGCAAACAGG